AACGAACGCUGGCGGCAUGCCUAACACAUGCAAGUCGAACGAGACCUUCGGGUCUAGUGGCGCACGGGUGCGUAACGCGUGGGAACCUGCCCUUAGGUUCGGAAUAACUCCCCGAAAGGGGUGCUAAUACCGGAUAAUGUCUUCGGACCAAAGAUUUAUCGCCUUUGGAUGGGCCCGCGUUGGAUUAGCUAGUUGGUAGGGUAAAAGCCUACCAAGGCGACGAUCCAUAGCUGGUCUGAGAGGAUGAUCAGCCACACUGGGACUGAGACACGGCCCAGAAUCCUACGGGAGGAAGCAGUGGGGAAUAUUGGACAAGGGGCGAAAGCCUGAUACAGCAAUGCCGCGUGAGUGAUGAAGGCCUUAGGGUUGUAAAGCUCUUUUACCCGGGAUGAUAAUGACAGUACCGGGAGAAUAAGCUCCGGCUAACUCCGUG
rnacentral:rRNA from 1 species